CUGGGGUUAAGGCGAUCAUCGAUCGAUCGAGUUUCUGUGCACAAUCGUGGCGCUGCUGUACUUCACCUUCGGCGAGGUGGACCUCUGCCACAUCUCGCUCCCGUCCUUACCCGUCUCCGGCUCGUCCCCCUUCCGCGCGGCUGCCGUGGCGGCGCCCUUCGUGGAGCGGCGCGGGGCUUCUUUCUAUUAUCUAGCAUGCCCUCCGCCACAUCGAGUUUCAGUGAAGAUUUGUUCUCAAGUUGA
rnacentral:misc_RNA from 1 species